UCGCGACCCCAGGUCAGGCGGGAUUACCCGCUGAGU
rnacentral:rRNA from 1 species